UACGUAGGGUGCGAGCGUUGUCCGGAAUUAUUGGGCGUAAAGAGCUUGUAGGUGGUUUGUCGCGUCUGCUGUGAAAAUCCGAGGCUCAACCUCGGACUUGCAGUGGGUACGGGCAGACUAGAGUGUGGUAGGGGAGACUGGAAUUCCUGGUGUAGCGGUGGAAUGCGCAGAUAUCAGGAGGAGCACCAAUGGCGAAGGCAGAUCUCUGGGCCGUAACUGACGCUGAGGAGCGAAAGCAUGGGGAGCGAACAGG
rnacentral:rRNA from 1 species